CAGCCCCUAUAGCUCAGUGGUAGAGCGCCAGUCUUGUAAACUGGAGGUCUGUAGUUCGAUCCUGCAUGGGGGCAAAGGCUC
rnacentral:tRNA from 1 species